UUCCUACGGGGGGCAGCAGUGGGGAAUCUUGCGCAAUGGGCGAAAGCCUGACGCAGCAACGCCGCGUGAGCGAAGAAGGCCUUCGGGUUGUAAAGCUCUGUCAGGGGGAAAGAAGGCACCUGGGUUAAUAGCCCAAGGGCUGACGGUACCCCCAAAGGAAGCCACGGCUAACUACGUGCCAGCAGCCGCGGUAAUACGUAGGUGGCGAGCGUUGUCCGGAAUCAUUGGGCGUAAAGAGCGCGUAGGUGGCUUGUCAGGUCCGAUGUGAAAACCUGGGGCUCAACUCCAGGCCUGCAUCGGAAACCGGCUUGCUAGAGUCUGGGAGAGGAGAGUGGAAUUCCUGGUGUAGCGGUGAAAUGCGUAGAUAUCAGGAGGAACACCGGUAGCGAAGGCGGCUCUCUGGAACAGUACUGACGCUGAGGCGCGAAAGCUAGGGGAGCGAACAGGAUUAGAUACCCUAGUAGUCC
rnacentral:rRNA from 1 species